rnacentral:rRNA from 1 species
GACGAACGCUGGCGGCGUGCUUAACACAUGCAAGUCGAGCGGAAAGGCCCUUCGGGGUACUCGAGCGGCGAACGGGUGAGUAACACGUGGGUAACCUGCCCUUCACUCUGGGAUAACUCCGGGAAACCGGGGCUAAUACCGGAUACGACCACUUUAGGCAUCUUCGGUGGUGGAAAGUUUUUCGGUUGGAGGAUGGACCCGCGGCCUAUCAGCUUGUUGGUGGGGUAAGUGGCCUACCAAGGCAGUGACGGGUAGCCGGCCUGAGAGGGCGACCGGCCACACUGGGACUGAGACACGGCCCAGACUCCUACGGGAGGCAGCAGUGGGGAAUAUUGCGCAAUGGGCGGAAGCCUGACGCAGCGACGCCGCGUGAGGGAUGACGGCCUU